rnacentral:misc_RNA from 1 species
CCCACCCGCUGGUACGAGCCAAUGCGGGCUGGGCAGUCAUUCUAAGAGAAGCGAGAACGCUAAACGAGGGCAUAUCAAGAAUCCAUGAGAACUCAUGCCCACAUCAGGUUCCGUAUCCAUGAUACCAAGCAAUACUCAAUGGUCCACACCACCGACGCAAGCAUUGGUGAUGUGGUUCAAAGAGACAGCUUCAGGGUCCAUCUUGUGCCAUGUAAAUGGCACACGACGAAAUCGACUUCGAUCCGUCAAGACAAUACCGUCACAUAGGUAGGCANCACAGGAAACCGACAAUCCACUUAGGCAAUACAUGCCUAGGCAGGMAACUGAARAGGUAUGCCGGGUGGAAGUUGUU